rnacentral:rRNA from 1 species
UAGGGAAUAUUGGACAAUGGGGGAAACCCUGAUCCAGCCAUGCCGCGUGAGUGAUGAAGGCCUUAGGGUUGUAAAGCUCUUUCGGCGGGGAAGAUAAUGACGGUACCCGCAGAAGAAGCCCCGGCUAACUUCGUGCCAGCAGCCGCGGUAAUACGAAGGGGGCUAGCGUUGCUCGGAAUCCCUGGGCGUAAAGGUCACGUAGGCGGAUUUCUAAGUCAGGGGUGAAAUCCUGGAGCUCAACUCCAGAACUGCCUUUGAUACUGGAAAUCUCGAGUUCGGGAGAGGUGAGUGGAACUGCGAGUGUAGAGGUGAAAUUCGUAGAUAUUCGCAAGAACACCAGUGGCGAAGGCGGCUCACUGGCCCGAUACUGACCCUGAGGUGCGAAAGCGUGGGGAGCAAACA